UCCUUCAAUUUCAAUUUUCCCUUGAGUAUAUUCUCCUCUUCUUCACCCCAAACAAACCCUGAAAACUGCAAAACAUUCCUCUUAAAAUGAUAAGCCUUUCCGCGCCUUCCAUAAAGAAGUCAUUUCAACACCUCUGGUGAGCUUGGAUAGUUUAUAUGCCACAUUUGGAGUGUUCUUAAGCUGUGUGCCUUUGCCCUGUUCAAUGAUGAAUUCUCUGGAGCUAUCCCUAAUGGUGGAAGGAUCAAAGGUUUUUACAGGCUUCUUUUCUCUCACAGGCCGAUCCAGCGGAGUAGUGGGCAGGCGUUGAAAGUAAAUCCUCAGUUUUCUCCUCUCUGAAUUCUUCAGCCAUAUCGAGAUUCGAACGAAUUCAAAAUUUCCAUUCAUGGCACAGACAUUGGAUUCAUGGGUGGGCCCAUUUGUCAUGUUGGUAUUAACACUUCUCACAGGCCAUUGACAACUGAGGAUUAGUGAGCUGCAUCACCAACUUAGUUUGGAGCUAUUACCUUCAAAAUUGGUAUAGAAUCAUCAAUUACCUUAUAAGCCUGUGAGCUGUAGUCAGUUAUAUUCUUGAUGGAGUCAAGUAAUACCUCAGUCACAUUUGUUGACUUGAAUGUGGAUGAUGAUCCAAUAAUCUGAGUGCCGGUGGAAGUGACCAUGCUUGUAUUGACUUCUGACAGGAGAUUGCAGGUAUAGUACCGCAUAGGUACGAGGUUCGUCUUCACCUAGAUUCGCAAGUUUGAGAGUACCUGAUUGGUCCUAAGGAAUUGGAUUAGGUAGUCGUAAGACCCUACGUUUUACCCUUGUCAUGCUCAAGUGAGCAUCGUCAGUCAUCUAUCAAUUUCCCCUUUGGUUGGGUAUGCGGGUCGUGUAUUUGUUUGGUUGUCUUGGGUUCCGUGUUGUGCAUGUGGUAAAAAUUGAUUAUUAAAUCCCAAGUAUUUAAAUUAGAUUAAUGUGUUUUUUUACGCAUUAGUAAAUUAAAGGGACUAAAUUAAAUAGGACCCCUUUGU